CCACACACAAGGUAGACAAAUCAGAUUCAAUAUACACAGGGACCUCCACAAUUUGACAUCUCUGCAAAAAAAAAAAAUGUGUAAAACACCCUAAAAUUAAAACAUCUCCUGUGGAAGCAGCGAAAUCUCAGACAGAAAAAUGUCAGAAACUAAUCAGUGUAGUUGAUGGCAGCAUGAUUCAGCUUGUAGUUUUACAUUCUGCAACUAUCCCAGGAGGUUGUGUCCUGGAACUUUCUACAACUUUCUACUUAUCAAAUAUAGCUUCUCAAAACUUUCCAAAGCUCACCAGAAAGAAACUGUGAUAACCUUGGUAGAAGAGGAACUUACUGGGCAAUGUCCUGAGCCUUUCAAGGUACUUUCAUGAAACCUAUAUGAUACUUUCUUAAAUUGUUACGGUACUUUCCAGAACUUAUUUUCCAUAAGCCUUUCAAACAAAUUCAUGGAAUUUACCAGAAAGGUUGUAGAACUUAGUAGGUGCUUUCAUUAAAUUUAUUGGGUACUUUUUUGGAAUUUUCCAGGUACUUCCCUUGAACUUUCCUGGAACAUGCCAGAUACUUUCCAAGUUAUUUGCUCGAACUUUCAUUGAACAUACUAGAUACUUUCCCAUAGCGUAUAAGUUACUUUCUGGAUUCUGCCAGGUAGUUUUAAUGGAAUUUUAGAGGUACUUUCCCAAGAAGUGACCAGCAAGUUCUGCGAAAGUUUUGGGGUAGCAUUAUGUGAAGUUAUACUAAAUAUCCAAGAAAAAAAGGCUGUAAGUUGUGAAAAAUUCCGGGUUGUAUUAUGUACUGAUCCCUAACUUUUACAUUUUUUAAACCAUUGCUACACUUACUAAUGUCCGAUUAAAACCUCCCUAAAUGAAUGUAGUUAAUCCUUUCUUUUCUUCCUUAUUUUUUCAGAAUGCCUACAUUGUCUGUAUUUUUUUCACAGGAAAACAUGAAAUUGGGGAUUAAUGUAAAACUUCAAUGUGACAGAUAUAUUUCGCCUACUUCAUUUUCACAAGAGUAAGA